GCAUAUCAGCAGCAGACCCUCCCUCCUAGACCCUCCCACCUCCUGGACAGCUCACUAAGAAUGCAGCUUCACAAUGGAUGCUGUCCAGGAGGUGGGAGGGUCUGGGAGGGAGGGUCUGCUGCUGGUUGG